rnacentral:rRNA from 1 species
GACGAACGCUGGCGGCGUGCUUAACACAUGCAAGUCGAGCGGUAAGGCCCUUUCGGGGGUACACGAGCGGCGAACGGGUGAGUAACACGUGGGUGACCUGCCCUCAGCUCUGGGAUAAGCCUGGGAAACCGGGUCUAAUACCGGAUAUGACUCCAUGACGCAUGUUGUGGGGUGGAAAGCCUUGUGCGGCUGAGGAUGGGCCCGCGGCCUAUCAGCUUGUUGGUGGGGUGANGGCCUACCAAGGCGACGACGGGUAGCCGGCCUGAGAGGGCGACCGGCCACACUGGGACUGAGACACGGCCCAGACUCCUACGGGAGGCAGCAGUGGGGAAUCUUGCGCAAUGGGCGAAAGCCUGACGCAGCGACGCCGCGUGAGGAUGAC